rnacentral:pre_miRNA from 1 species
UACGUACUCCCUCCGUUCGGAAUUACUUGUCGCAGAAAUGGAUGUAUCUAGACGUAUUUUAGUUCUAGACACAUCCAUUUCCGAGACAAGUAAUUCCGAAUGGAGGGAGUACUAG